UACGUAGGUGGCAAGCGUUGUCCGGAUUUACUGGGCGUAAAGGGCGUGCAGGCGGUUUGUUAAGUGCAGGGUGAAAGCCCCCGGCUCAACUGGGGAGGGUCAUUCGAUACUGAUCAACUUGAAGGCAGGAGAGAGAAGUGGAAUUCCCGGUGUAGUGGCGAAAUGCGUAGAUAUCGGGAGGAACACCAGUGGCGAAGGCGACUUCUUGGCCUGUUCUUGACGCUGAGGCGCGAAAGCUGGGGGAGCAAACGGG
rnacentral:rRNA from 1 species